rnacentral:rRNA from 1 species
AACGAACGCUGGCGGCAGGCCUAAUACAUGCAAGUCGAACGGGCGUAGCAAUACGUCAGUGGCGGACGGGUGAGUAACACGUGGGAACAUGCCUUUCGGUUCGGAAUAACGCAGGGAAACUUGCGCUAAUACCGGAUGACCCGGCGACGGAAAAGAUUUAUCGCCGAAAGAUUGGCCCGCGUAGGAUUAGCUAGUUGGUGAGGUAACGGCCCACCAAGGCGACGAUCCUUAGCUGGUUUGAGAGAACGAUCAGCCACACUGGGACUGAGACACGGCCCAGACUCCUACGGGAGGCAGCAGUAGGGAAUCUUGGACAAUGGGGGAAACCCUGAUCCAGCCAUGCCGCGUGAGUGAUGAAGGCCUUCGGUUGUAAACUAC